UGCCCGCGCGCGCACACUCGGCCCCCCGCGGCAGGACCCACACGGGUGGCGCGAGAACCCCGCGGGCCGAGGGGACCCCGCCUCCGGGCCGGCUGGGCGCGGGGCGACGGGGAGCGCACCCCGACUUCCGUGGAUCACAUGGGCUGCGGGGGGCGGGUGGAUCGGGGGAGGGGAGGCGCGAGGAGCUUGCUGCGGCUCCUCACCCGGACCGGGGUGAAGACGCCCCCCCACCCUCUCUAGUUCGCCCUCUCUAUUCAAGUUUGCCGGCCCCUGCCGCCGAGAUCCGGGGAUGGCACCAGCCGCCCGCCCUGCGCUGCGCCCUGUUUCCAGCAGCCGCUCAGAAAUUUAGGUCAAGGACGUCGGGAGCAAACCCACACCCCGGCGCUACUCUGGCGGCCCCCGAGACCCUCCAGGAUCGAGGGACUUCAGGAUGGCGGAGACCCUCCUGCACAAACACCAGCCACAAGUUUUAUUUUCCUUUUGCGCUGGAAGUUCUCUCUGGCUCUCGCUCCACACCGGCACGUCUUGCGCGGCUCCCCGCCCUUCCCCAGUAGAGGAUUGGGAGACAAAGGAAUACACUCAACACCAAAACUGAACCAAAUCCACUGAGUUUUGGAAAAAUGGAAUAUUUGGAAAAUCUGAACACCAGCCAUAGACUUUAGUGACCAGGCUCUCAAUCUCCCUGUUCCCUAAAUUGCAGUAAUUCCUCCUUGACAGGAUUGAUGGGGUGAAGGCGAGAGAGGCUGAAGUGAACCAAUGUUGUAAAAGUUCCUUUUUCACUGUAAACCUGAGUCGUGUUUAUCAUCAAUUACUACCCAAUAUAAUCAUAUCGAGAAGGUG